CUGGAACUGUUGUAGAUUUGGGCCUCCCAGGCAUGAGAAUCAAACCAAACCAAACAAACAAAAAGAUCAGAAGCAAAUGCACUAUCAGUGUGGGACUCUUCAUUCUAUACUUUAUUAACGUGUGUAACCUAACUACAUCUGAAUUUCAAAGAUAAGAAGAUAAUCAUAUGGACAUCCAGGAAGAAGAAUCAAGCCACCCAAAAGGGAAAAAAAAGGUCAAGUUCAGGUAGCUCCAGAUUCCUCCAUCGCAGUAUUCACCGAAGACAGAGGAGUGAGGUUUAUACCAUUGCUACUCAGAAAUGUGGUCCAUGAUCCUGCAGCAUUGGCAUCACUUGGGAGCUUAUUAGAAAUGCUGAAUCUCAGUUGUCAUUCCAUAUCUACUGAAGCAGAAUCUGCAUUUGACCAGAUUUUCAGCUGCCGAGGCCUCUGUAGAUUGCAGCCAUCACCAAGCUCUCAAAACUUCCUUGGGAUGCCUGCCAGCAUUAUGAGACCAGGUAACACAGUGUCUCAAGAUGAACUCAGUGGAAUGAACUUUGGCAGAGAUCUAAGAAGAGAUUUUCUUUAGGGUAACAAUGACUUUGGUGCUAUUUGGACACUAUCUAACAGCAAAACGCCUUAUACCUAAACAGUGGAAAUGCUGAGCAAAAGUGCUUCAGCUGUUUUUGUUUCACUUCCUGAUUCAUGCACAUUCAACCAACUAUCUUUGGUUUACUGAUGGGUAAUAUUCACAAUGUCAGAAGAUCAAGCUCUGGUUUUGUAAAGACUGAAGGAGCGUAACUUGAGCCAAAAUGGAGUCCUCCUGCAGAGGGCAUCGCAUGACCAGGCAGGGAGCCACAGCUGUGGUGCAGGGCGCACCCCGCAAGGGAGACCGCUUCAAUGGCGCUCUGAGGGAGACCUGGAGGAUGACGCCGGUGGCAGUUGGAGACAACAGAACGAGGCAACGUCAGGCUUCACGUGCCCUCCACGCACGCAAACUUUCCCACUCUUUCUGCACACAUCCUCUGUGCUGCAGGCUGGUUUGGAGAAAAGUCAGGCUUUUUCUAAAUCAAAUAAAUGGUCAGCAGAGGUUGAGGAAAGUCUACUGAGAACGCAUUUUCUCCGAGUUGUGCUCCUCCAGCACCAGUGCUGUGGCCAGGAGAGUGAAGUCUAGGAGAAAGAUGAAGAGGCCAUCUGGAGUGGAGGACAGGUGGAAACUGAGGCCCAGAGAGAGUCAGUGCCUUGUCCAAUGUCAUGUGGCUCUUAUGAAAGAGAGAUGACGUCAGAACUUGAGUCUCCAGACUUCUUUGUACUUUCUGCUUUACCAUCUCUUUUAACGUGUCCGACAGAGUCAGGAAACGGUGAGUUCAAACAAACAUAAAGUUAACCUGUUAGAAACCAUUUCUAAUAAAUUCUAGCAGUGAAGCAACUCUGGCAAAAGACAGUAAAUGAAAUGAAA
rnacentral:lncRNA from 1 species